UAAACAUAUAACGGUAAGAAGGUUCGCCGGGGAUAACAGGUUAUAGUAUAUAUAGAGCUCUAAU
rnacentral:rRNA from 1 species